GGGGGUGACAGGUUUCGACACCGGUUGCCGCAACAAGAGAAGCGAGCCGAGAAUCGGUGGUCAUCUCGUUAACGAUCCGCCGAAAACAACAAGUGCCGAUAACAAGCGCACUGACUUCGCUCUCGCCGCCUAGGCAGAGCUCAACAUGAAGUCCGUCAGACCGGGGCUGUUCUCGACCCGGACCCUGGCGUCGUCUAGGGAACUUGCCGACACCUCCCGCUCACGGGGGGACUAGGGACACCAAUCAGUGAGGUAGGCCGCGUUCCCCGUUGGGCCACACGAAUCGGGGAGGCCGAAUCGCAAUAGCGUGGCUGCGCUCGGAGAAGUCUUGAAGCUGUGCCGAUGGACGCGGGUUCGAUUCCCGCCACCUCCACCA
rnacentral:tmRNA from 1 species